CUCGGACCUUCUCUUGUGCAGUUCGCGUUAACAACUAAGCAUAUGAUUAUACCCAUAGCAGGAACAUCACCAUGAAACUUAGGGAAGAUAAAAUCGUUACAGUACUCAUACUAUUCAAUGUAAGAUUUUCAUCCAGGAUGAGAACAAACAGCGGCCACAGUAGAACAAGGGAUCACUGAAUUUAGAGUAGUUGUGGUUGUGGUAGAAGAGAAUUAGCUUCAGGAUCGCCAACUGAGAGACAUCCUUCGAGAGAGAAAGACCUUCAUGAACAUAAGGCACAAAACCCAAGGAAGCGAUACCAUUUUUAAAUGAAGAAUCCUUUGAUGCUAAUAUUGGUUGAUGGUUACUGACAUUGGAUCAGCAUGCGAAAUAGAUUCGUCGAUACUCGAAACUUCGAGGUCUAAAGAUGGCGGCGCGGAAUCCAAAGAAGAAUCACCAUUGAUAUCUGAAUAAUUAAACAAAGUUUAUGUAAGAGGAAAUUUAACCAGCAAACUAUAGGCUAUACCUCCACCAGAUGAACAUACUCUUGGCGGAAGUACCUUUAGUUUCCUGAUAUUAACCGAAUACCCAGGAACCCGUACGACUUUUGGCAAAGCAUUUAUUAUCCAUGAGAGCGUGGAUCGCCAUCCCAGUAAUCCAUAUACUCUAUAAAUCUGAAUACAAAAUU
rnacentral:lncRNA from 1 species